GUUCUGUUACUGAUCUGUGGUCAUAAUGAAGUUGUGAUCUAUUACUGAUCUGUGGUCAUAAUGAAUGUAGUGAUCUGUGGUCAUAAUGAAUGUAGUGAUCUGUUAGUGAUCUGUGGUCAUAAUGAAGGUAGUGUUUUGUUAGUGAUCUGUGGUCAUAAUGAAGGUAGUGUUCUGUUACUGAUCUGUGGUCAUAAUGAAGGUAGUGUUCUGUUAGUGAUCUGUGGUCAUAAUGAAUGUAGUGUUCUGUUACUGAUCUGUGGUCAUAAUGAAGUUGUGAUCUGUUACUGAUCUCUGGUCAUAAUGAAUGUAGUGAUAUGUUAAUGAUCUGUGGUCAUAAUGAAGGUAGUGUUCUGUUAGUGAUCUGUGGUCAUAAUGAAGGUAGUGAUCUGUGGUCAUAAUGAAGGUAAUGAUCUGUGGUCAUAAUGAAUGAUCUGUCAGGCUGAAGGUAGUGAUCUGUUAGUGAUCUGUGGUCGGUUUGAAGGUGCUGCUGUGUUGCUGUGUUUCAGCCAGCUCCAGCUGAUGUGACAGUGCUUUGGUUUGGGCACCACAGUCCCGACUUCCUGCCCUGAAGCCCUCUGAUCCACCAUGGGGAAUGAGAACAGCGCCAUCGAGCCUGAAGCACCGGCUGAAGUCCACGCCGAUAGAACCGACCAGAACGGAGAAAACAACACAGCAGAUAGCAUAGUGGUCUGUACCAAGCCUCCAGCCUCAACCACAGAACAAGGGGUCGACCCCUUACAGGACGUCCCAGGGAGGAACACUGAGGAAGAGGAGGAGCAGAGGAGGAGAGAUGAAGACGAGGAUCUAGAGUUCCCUCACGACUUCCUGCCCAGCACAGACCUCAGCCUUGAACUCCACUGGGGGACUUCACUUAGAACAGAGAUUAAGAGUGAUCAGGAGAGCCUGAGUGACUCAGUGAGCCCCCUGCUGGCUGGUCUGCAACAUCACAUGGACGGCAGCACACAACUGGUGGCUGUGCAGAAGAGGCAUCCCGGCCAUGCUGACCUAGUUCCCACAGACAUUCGUACUCCUCCUUCCCCCAAACCUACUGCCAAGCCCAUGGAGGGUGCCCUAUCCCCACCCCUUCUGCCCCCGUCUCCAGCUCUGUCCAUGGAGAGGGUCCCAGCCCUGCCGAUUGCCCCGCCCGUUGAAGGUGCCCCAUUCCUGUGCCCACCCCUCCCAGCACUAUCUUCCCUACCGUUGUCCCAAGCCCAGUCUACUAGUAUGCCCAUGCAGAGUGCUCCACCUCUCACACCCCUGUCCCCUGCCAUGCUGCUUGAACAGGAGCUGCUCCAGGCCUUCCAGGAAUACGAGGAACAAAUGGCCUCUCUGAGCAUACCAGACCUCCGUGUCUCUGAGGCCAGUGGUCAAUGCCCACCCGUGGGCCUUCUGCCCAAAUAUUCAGUCCACUAUGAGGACGAGGAAGGAAGAAGGGAUACGGGAGGAGGAGUGACUGUUACUGUUCCCAAGGACGUAGAGUCAUCUUCUCCAUCGCCACGGAUACGACCACCACCUCCCCUACUUGUGAUCCAGCCAGGAUACCGCGGCGACGACAACAACGACGCCGGUGAAAACGGCAACGAGGAAACACAGCGUGGAAACAGUGACACAUCAACAAGUCAGAGGGUCACAGCCUACACCGAAGGGUUCAGUUUCAGAAGUUACCUUCUGGGAAAUAAUAAGAAACCAGUUGAAGAGAGCGCAGCCGAAGAGGCUGAACAAGAGGAAAGCACAUUACAACUGUUUGAGAGAAUGGCUAGAGAGGCAGAGGCAGAGAUUCACUCCAAAAAAAAGGCAGAUGCACUGAAGGAAACAGACACUCAGAUGCCAUUGGACUCGACAACAGAUGCAGAUUUAUUUAAAGAGACCCUGAUAAGUCCAGAGUCUGUGGAGCAGAGAGAGCAGGCAGAGAGAGCAGAGCUACUGAUAGGUCUAGUAGUAGGGUCUAAAACAGACCAGCUGACAGCGCAAAAAAACUCAGAAGAGACAAAGGCAGACUCACAGGCUGAGACCAAGCAGGCUGAGACCAAGCAGGCACAGUCCAAGCAGGCUGAGACCAAGCAGGCACANNNNNNNNNNGGAUAGUCAGCCAGGGUGGGAGGAUAGUCAGCCAGGGUGGGGAUAGUCAGCCAGGGUGGGGAGGAUAGUCCAUCACUGCCCAGUGUCUACUGCCUAGUCCAUCACUGACCAGUGUCUACUGCCUAGUCCACCACCUCCCAGUCUAUCACUUCCUAGUCCAUCACUGCCUAGUCCAUCACUUCCUAGUCCAUCACUGCCUAGUCCAUCACUGCCCAGUGUCUACUGCCUAGUCCAUCACUUCCUAGUCCAUCACUGCCCAUUGUCUACUGCCUAGUCCAUCACUGCCCAGUCCAUCACUGCCCAGUGUCUACUUCCUAGUCCACUUAUUAUUCCUAGUGCACUAUAUAGGGAAUAGGGAGCCAGUCCUGGUCAAAAGUAGUGCACUAUAUAGGGUAUAGGCAGACAUGUACUUGGCAGUGUCCAGUGACCCUGGCUACAAUGAC
rnacentral:lncRNA from 13 species